GGGAACUUCUGUUGAUGGGCAUCCCCUGACCCCUUGUGCUGACCGCUAGUAGCUUUAGCGCUAACUAUGAUAGCACGCGCUUAAUCGUUAGCUCUGUUUGGAGCUAACGCGUUAGCGUGUGUGUAAACUCACUGUGUUAGCUUACAUCUUUUUUUCCUAUUCAACGCAUAGGCUUCGGACAAGCGUGGGAAUCUUUACACCGCUGUCUACUUUCUUUGUUGCACCCCCUUUAAAAUAAAAAUAAAACAAUUCAUGCUAUGGAGGCGCCGGGAAUUAAACCCGGAUCCAGCGGAUUAUUGCAUUGCCACUUGUUUAUUGUCAUAGCUAAGUUAGC
rnacentral:tmRNA from 1 species